AUUGAACGCUGGCGGAAUGCUUUACACAUGCAAGUCGAACGGCAGCACGGGGCAACCUGGUGGCGAGUGGCGAACGGGUGAGUAAUACAUCGGAACGUGCCCAAUCGUGGGGGAUAACGUAGCGAAAGUUACGCUAAUACCGCAUACGAUCUACGGAUGAAAGCGGGGGAUCGCAAGACCUCGCGCGAAUGGAGCGGCCGAUGUCAGAUUAGGUAGUUGGUGGGGUAAAGGCUCACCAAGCCAACGAUCUGUAGCUGGUCUGAGGGGACGACCAGCCACACUGGGACUGAGACACGGCCCAGACUCCUACGGGAGGCAGCAGUGGGGAAUUUUGGACAAUGGGCGCAAGCCUGAUCCAGCCAUUCCGCGUGCAGGAUGAAGGCCUUCGGGUUGUAAACUGCUUUUGUACGGAACGAAACGGUUCUCUCUAAUACAGGGGGCUAAUGACGGUACCGUAAGAAUAAGCACCGGCUAACUACGUGCCAGCAGCCGCAGUAAUAC
rnacentral:rRNA from 1 species